GAGGUCUUGGUGGAAGUCGGUGUGACGAUAUCAAGGGGCGGGGCCGAAGCAGCCCAGGGGGCGGGUGUUUGAAAUCAGUGCCUUAGAGUAGACCCUAAAUAUCAUUUUAUACCUUGGAGAACCAAUUACUUAAUGUCUCUUCCGUCUUUUCCUUUCCCGACCCCCUCCCAGACUCCUCCAUUCCGGUUCUGCGUGGAUGGGAAGCCCCGGGUAGCCGACACCACGUCCCCGGCUAGGAUUACACCAAACUGUUUAAAUUCAACGGCUCCUGCUUCCAUCCUUUCUCCUGAGGUAGACCCAACAAGCCUAGGGAGUUGGGCUACGGAAAAACUAGUUUUCAUUUAAUUGGAUAUGAAGAAAGAACAAAUAUGUUACGGGGGCAACCACGAUCUUUAUAAAGUUUUACAUGUAGCAGUGGAAGUCAUCUUUCAAAAUUAUCAAUCUGAUGAGGUUAUAUUCCGUUAUCAUAUUCUGCUGCACUUAGAAUAAAAGUCGCAUUUAUGCAAGGUUUUCUUCAUUGCCUCUGGCCCGAAGUAACUAUACUGUCAUCCUUCAAGUCUCAGCUCUAAUAGUACAGGUACUUGAGGUUUUCCUUGCCGUCUCUAUUUGCACCCCCACAAACACCAUCACAUCACCCUGUUUUAUUUUUUCAUAGUUGUAAAUACUACCUGUG
rnacentral:lncRNA from 1 species